UUGGUCAACAAGUUAGCCAUGUGCCACACAUGUUGGAAGCUUAAAGAACAAGCUAACUACGUGGUCCAUCCAUAGAAAACUUGCUUUGCAAGCAAAGGCAUGUGGCCUAGAAAGUCAACAUAUAUUGGAGGUCUUAUAGAACAUCGCCACGUGGCUUCUAGUUAGAUAGUAUAUAUAGAGGCAAGAGUGAAGCCCUCUUCACUCUUGUCAACUCCUUUCUUGCUUCUAGUCUAGUUUCAAG
rnacentral:lncRNA from 1 species